rnacentral:rRNA from 1 species
UACGGAGGGGGCUAGCGUUGUUCGGAAUUACUGGCGUAAAGCGCACGUAGGCGGACUGUUAAGUCGGGGGUGAAAUCCUGGGGCUCAACCUCAGAAUUGCCUCCGAUACUGGCAGUCUCGAGUGCGGGAGAGGUGAGUGGAAUUCCCAGUGUAGAGGUGAAAUUCGUAGAUAUUGGGAAGAACACCAGUGGCGAAGGCGGCUCACUGGCCCGUAACUGACGCUGAGGUGCGAAAGCGUGGGGAG